GGAUAAUACCGGAUAACGCAUAUAUGCUGGAAUGCUUUAUGCGUAAAAUGGAUUCGUCUGCCCAAGGAUGGGUCUGCGGCCUAUCAGGUAGUAGUGGGUGUAAUGUACCUACUAGCCUACAACGGGUACGGGUUGUGAGAGCAAGAGCCCGGAGAUGGAUUCUGAGACAUGAAUCCAGGCCCUACGGGGCGCAGCAGGCGCGAAAACUUUACAAUGCGGGAAACCGUGAUAAGGGGACACCGAGUGCCAGCAUCAUAUGCUGGCUGUCCAGAUGUGUAAAAUACAUCUGUUAGCAAGGGCCGGGCAAGACCGGUGCCAGCCGCCGCGGUAACACCGGCGGCCCGAGUGGUGAUCGUGAUUAUUGGGUCUAAAGGGUCCGUAGCCGGUUUGGUCAGUCCUCCGGGAAAUCUGAUGGCUCAACCAUUAGGCUUUCGGGGGAUACUGCCAGGCUUGGAACCGGGAGAGGUAAGAGGUACUACAGGGGUAGGAGUGAAAUCUUGUAAUCCCUGUGAGACCACCUGUGGCGAAGGCGUCUUACCAGAACGGGUUCGACGGUGAGGGACGAAAGCUGGGGGCACGAACCGGAUUAGAUACCCGGGUAGUCCCAGCCGUAAACUAUGCUCGCUAGGUGUCAGGCAUGGCGCGACCGUGUCUGGUGCCGCAGGGAAGCCGUGAAGCGAGCCACCUGGGAAGUACGGCCGCAAGGCUGAAACUUAAAGGAAUUGGCGGG
rnacentral:rRNA from 1 species